UUGCUCCUCUGAUGGCGAGUGGCGAACGGGUGAGUAAAGCAUCGGAACGUACCGUGUAGGUGGGGAUAACGUAGCGAAAGUUAAGCUAAUACCGCAUACGCCCUACGGGGGAAAGGAGGGGAUCUUCGGACCUUUCGCUAACAGAUGAGCCUGCGUAGGAUUAGCUAGUUGGUAGGGUAAAAGCCUACCAAGGCGACGAUCCUUAGCUGUUCUGAGAGGAAGAUCAGCCACACUGGGACUGAGACACGGCCCAGACUCCUACGGGAGGCAGCAGUGGGGAAUAUUGGACAAUGGGCGAAAGCCUGAUCCAGCAAUACCGCGUGUGUGAAGAAGGCCUUAGGGUUGUAAAGCACUUUCAAUUGGAAGGAAAAACCAGGGUCAAUACCCCUGGUCUUGACAUUACCUUUAGAAGAAGCACCGGCUAACUCCGUG
rnacentral:rRNA from 1 species